rnacentral:rRNA from 1 species
UCGGGAAUUUUGGGCAAUGGGCGAAAGCCUGACCCAGCAACGCCGCGUGAAGGAUGAAGUAUUUCGGUAUGUAAACUUCGAAAGAAUAGGAAGAAUAAAUGACGGUACUAUUUAUAAGGUCCGGCUAACUACGUGUCAGCAGCCGCGGUAAUACGUAGGGACCAAGCGUUGUUCGGAUUUACUGGGCGUAAAGGGCGCGUAGGCGGCAAUUCAAGUCAUCUGUGAAAUCUCCGGGCUUAACUCGGAACGGUCAGAUGAUACUGCUUUGCUAGAGUGCAGAAGGGGCAAUCGGAAUUCUUGGUGUAGCGGUGAAAUGCGUAGAUAUCAAGAGGAACACCUGAGGUGAAGACGGGUUGCUGGGCUGACACUGACGCUGAGGCGCGAAAGCCAGGGGAGCAAACGGGAUUAGAUACCCCUGUAGUCCCUGAGCGGGCUGGCAAGGCGCAU